GGGGCUGUAGCUGAGUGGUAGAGCACAUGCCUGCAUGCGUGAGAUCCUGGGUUCGAUCCCCAGCACCA
rnacentral:tRNA from 1 species